AAAACAUCGCCUCUCGAUAAAUUAUAAGAGGUCCAGCCUGCCCAGUGAUAAAAUUCAACGGCCGCGGUAUCCUAACCGCGCGAAGGUAGCAUAAUCACUUGUUCUUUAAAUAAGGACUAGUAUCAACGGCAUCACGAGGGUCGCACUGUCUCCUCCCUCUAAUCAGUGAAACUGAUCUCCCCGUGAAGAAGCGGGGAUAUUACCAUAAGACGAGAAGACCCCAUGGAGCUUUAAACCUCAAAGCAACUCUGACAUAUAAUCCACCAUAACUUACAGAGGCCUGCACAACGGUUUUAGGUUGGGGCGACCGCGGAGUAAAAAUUAACCUCCACAACGAAAAGAACUAAAUCUUUAUCCAAGAGCCACACCUCUAAGAAUUAGUAUACUAACGAAUAAUGAUCCGAUAAUCGAUCAACGGACCAAGUUACCCUGGGGAUAACAGCGCAAUCUACUUCAAGAGCCCUUAUCGACAAGUAGGCUUACGACCUCGAUGUUGGAUCAGGGUAUCCUAGUGGUGCAGCCGCUACUAAUGGUUCGUUUGUUCAACGAUUAAAACCCUACGUGAUCUGAUUCCAGA
rnacentral:rRNA from 1 species